rnacentral:rRNA from 1 species
UACGGAGGAUCCGAGCGUUAUCCGGAUUUAUUGGGUUUAAAGGGUUCGUAGGCGGCCUAUUAAGUCAGGGGUGAAAUACGGUGGCUCAACCAUCGCAGUGCCUUUGAUACUGAUGGGCUUGAAUCCAUUUGAAGUGGGCGGAAUAAGACAAGUAGCGGUGAAAUGCAUAGAUAUGUCUUAGAACUCCGAUUGCGAAGGCAGCUCACUAAGCUGGUAUUGACGCUGAUGCACGAAAGCGUGGGGAUCGAACAGG